GAUGAACGCUGGCGGCGUGCCUAAUACAUGCAAGUCGAGCGAACGGACGAGAAGCUUGCUUCUCUGAUGUUAGCGGCGGACGGGUGAGUAACACGUGGAUAACCUACCUAUAAGACUGGGAUAACUUCGGGAAACCGGAGCUAAUACCGGAUAAUAUUUUGAACCGCAUGGUUCAAAAGUGAAAGACGGUCUUGCUGUCACUUAUAGAUGGAUCCGCGCUGCAUUAGCUAGUUGGUAAGGUAACGGCUUACCAAGGCAACGAUGCAUAGCCGACGUGAGAGGGUGAUAGGCGACACUGGAACGUGGACGCGGUCCAGACGCCUACGGGAGGCAGCAGUAGGGAAUCGUCCGCAAUGGGCGAGAGCCUGACGGAGUAACGCCGCGUGAGUGAUGAAGGUCUUCGGAUCGGAAAACUCUGUUAUGAGGGAAGAACAUAUGUGUAAGUAACUGUGCACAUCUUGACGGUACCUAAUCAGAAAGCCACGGCUAACUACGUG
rnacentral:rRNA from 1 species